GUCUAUGGCCAUGCUACACUGAACAAGCCAGAUUCCAAAUGAUCUCGGAAGCUAAGCAGGGUCGGGCCUGUUUAGUACUUGGAUGGGAGACCACCUAGGAAGACCAGGUGCUGUAGAUG
rnacentral:rRNA from 1 species